rnacentral:piRNA from 1 species
UGAUAAUGUGACUAUAUUUGCAUAAAGCGUC